UGCCAGCCGCCGCGGUAAUACGGAGGGAGCUAGCGUUGUUCGGAAUUACUGGGCGUAAAGCGCGCGUAGGCGGCCAUUCAAGUCAGAGGUGAAAGCCCGGGGCUCAACUCCGGAACUGCCUUUGAAACUAGAUGGCUAGAAUAUGGGAGAGGUGAGUGGAAUUCCGAGUGUAGAGGUGAAAUUCGUAGAUAUUCGGAAGAACACCAGUGGCGAAGGCGACUCACUGGACCAUUAUUGACGCUGAGGUGCGAAAGCGUGGGGAGCAAACAGGAUUAGAUA
rnacentral:rRNA from 1 species